GGGUCGCACUGCUAACGACAAUCCUACGAGCCCGCCGCGUGGAUAUAAGGCCACAGGUUGUAAGUCCUUUUCUGGGGAAGAAUCACUGUGGGAGGGAAUGCCCGCCUGAUUCCUGAACCGCCGAAUGAACCCCCGCCAACUUCCUGGCCGCCGCCCCCGGUAAUAAUAAA
rnacentral:rRNA from 1 species